rnacentral:pre_miRNA from 1 species
UACAAUGUUUUAACUUUUUGUCUUAUUCGAAAUUUUUCUGCAAUUAAUAUUUUUUUCUUACUAGAUGAUAAAAUAUGAAUAAUAUUUUAUGCAUGACUAAUUUUUUAAGUUUUUAUACAAAUUUUUCAAAUAAGAUGAAUGGUCAAAUAUUAGACACAGAAAAAC